AGAGCCCACAGAUGCUGGAGUCACCCAGGAACCCAGGCACCAGGACACACUGUAGAGUCAGCUGGAGUCACUCAAUUCCCCAACUACAGAGUCAUAGAGAAGAAACAAGCUGUGACUCUGAGAUGUGACCCAAUUUCUGGACAUGCAUCUCUUUAUUGGUACC